rnacentral:lncRNA from 1 species
GAAGUGAUAUUCAGAAUUAAACAUGCAAUACAGAAAUGCAAAGAUGUCCCUUUUGUCUGGAAGGUAAGCCUGGACAAGUGCUGCUACGAUCUUGACACCUUCAUAUGUUCUUCAGCAGCCUGUGGAGACAGAGCCAGUGUGUGGCUGUUGCUGUUUCCAGUCCCACUGACUGCUGCUGGAGCUAAGGGCACAAAAAUAUUUGCUUUAGGAAGCAGCCACGUGCAUUAUCGCAAUACUCAGCUUUCCUUUGAGACGGGGAAAAAAAAGAAGAAAAAAAAAGUGGUUAUCGCUCUUCACACGUGGAGCUCUUUGCUGAUUUCCUGGUCACCUGGCCCAGAAGGAGGGAGGAAGGGCUGGCGCACACCGGAGCGCUCCGGGACGGAGCUGCUAAGGUUCCGACGCCCGCUGAGGAGGAGGCCGCGUGGCCCAGAGCUGCGGAGCCGCAGCGGGGGGAAGGCGGGCGCGGCCCGGCCGCUGGGGCCGCCUCCUGACGUCGGGAACCUGCCGUGCGCGGGGCGGGGCGGGGCGGGCGCCGGGAGCGGGCAGAGCCGGCUGCGGGGCGCGGCGCCCGGCCUGUCCCCGCGCCCAGGGCCGGAGCAGGUAGGGCGGCGGGCGGCUCCCCCGGAGGGAGGGCGCGGGGCAGGGGGGAGGCCGCGCCGCGCAGCGCAGACAAAGAGCCGGGCUCGGCCCGCGGGGGCUCCGCGCUGCACCUGGGGCCGAGCUCCGCGCUCCGCCGCUGCUGACGGCCCGCACGGUUCCUCCCCGAGCGCUCGGGCCCGGCCGGGGCCGCGGGGAGAGAGCGGGGCCGUUCGCGCCGGGUGCGUGGCCGGGCCGCGGGGUGAAGCGCCCGGAUCCGCACCGCCGGGAGCCGCGUGCGGAUGCGGCGUCGCGGAGCCGCCCGGCGGCAUCUGUCCGUCUCCGUCUGCUCUGCGCCGAGGGGCAGCCCUGCCCCACGCUGCGGGGUUGGGGAGACCCAGCCCUGCUCCUAGAUGCACCGGGAAACGCAGCUUCGGUCUCGGAAAAGAAGAUGCACUGACGUGUGCUGCUUUUCCUUCUUCCUUCAGGCGGAGAGAAGAGAGGAAAAUGCGAUAUUGCGGGAGAGCGAGGAGGAGAGGCAGCAGGGCUGUGCUCUGUGCUGCCGGCCUGUAG